rnacentral:ncRNA from 1 species
AUAAAAGUUUGGUCCUAGCUUUACUGUCAACUUUAAUUAACCUUACACAUGCAAGUUUUCGCCUCCCAGUGACAACACCCUUACAAAAAAAAAAAGGAGUCGAUAUCAGGCACAAUAAUUAAACAUUAGCCUAUAACAUCUAGCCUUAGCCACACCCUCAAUGGGCCCGCAGCAGUGAUAAACAUUAAGUAAUAAGCACCAGCUUGACUCAGCUACAAUUAACAGAAUUGGUAUAUCUUGUGCCAGCCACCGCGGUUAUACAAGAAACUCAAGUUGACAUCCUACGGCGUAAAGUGUGAUUAAGAGAAAUUUUAAACACUAAGACUAAAAACCUACUAAGCUGUUAUACGCAUUAGCAUAGUAACACACUCAACAUUCUAAUUAACGAAAGUGGUCUUAAUAAAUUUAAACGAUUCAAAACUCACGACCGCUGAAACACAAACUGGGAUUAGAUACCCCACUAUGUUCAGCCACAAAACUUGAACACUUACACCAACCACUCCGCCAGAGCAUUACGAGCAAUAGCUUAAAACUCAAAGGACUUGGCGGUGCCCCAAAUCCCUCCAGAGGAGCCUGUUCUAUAAUCGAUAACCCACGCUUAACCUCACCACCAUUUGACAACCCAGCCUAUAUACCACCGUCACCAGCCUGCCUUAUGAAAGAAUUACAGCAAGCAAAAACGAUAUCUUCAAAUACGUCAGGUCAAGGUGUAGCACAUAUGGUGGGAAGAAAUGGGCUACAUUUUCUUUUAAAGACCAUACGAAUAAUAAAAUGAAACCCUAUUUGAAGGCGGAUUUGGCAGUAAGAGUGGACAAUAAUGCCACCCUUAAUCCUGGCCCUGGGGCGCGCACACACCGCCCGUCACCCUCAUCACUUAAUCUCAAUUCAAUAUAAAUAAAAACCACUCGAGACUCCUUAGAUGAGGUAAGUCGUAACAAGGUAAGCGCACUGGAAAGUGCUCUUGGAACAC